GAUGAAGAACGUAGCGAAAUGCGAUAAGUAAUGUGAAUUGCAGAAUUCAGUGAAUCAUCGAAUCUUUGAACGCACAUUGCGCCCGCCAGUAUUCUGGCGGGCAUGCCUGUUCGAGCGUCAUUUCAACCAUCAAGCCCCAGGCUUGUGUUGGGGACCUGCGGCUGCCGCAGGCCCUGAAAACUAGUGGCGGGCUCGCUGUCACACCGGGCGUAGUAGAUUUUAUCUCGCUCAGGGCGUGCUGCGGGUUCCGGCCGUUAAAAAGCCUUUUUUACCCAAGGUUGACCUCGGAUCAGGUAGGAAGACCCGCUGAACUUAAGCAUAUCAAUAAGCGGAGGA
rnacentral:misc_RNA from 1 species